AUGGCUGGAUUCGCUGAUGCACUGAGGCCGGAUAAGUUUACCGGUGUGCACUUUAAGAGGUGGCAGGUGAAGACCACGCUCUGGCUUACUGCUCUGAAAGUUUUCCACGCUAGUGUUGGUGCUCCAGAGGGAAUGACCGACGAAGAUCGGAGAAAAUUCCAGGAAGCCAAUACUAUGUUUGUGGGAUGCAUUCUGAGUGUUCUUGCUGACCGUCUGUGUGAUGUGUACAUGCACAUAAACGACGGAAAAAUUCUGUGGGAUGCACUGAAUACAAAAUUCGGUGCAACAGAUGCAGGCAGUGAACUGUACAUCAUGGAGAGUUUUCAUGACUACAAGAUGGUGAAUAACCGUUCUGUGGUUGAACAAGCUCAUGAGAUACAGUGCAUUGUGAAGGAACUUGAACUCCUUAAAUGUGUUCUACCCGACAAAUUUGUGGCUGGGUGCAUGAUUGCAAAGUUGCCUCCUUCAUGGAGGAAUUUCGCCACAACUCUGAAGCAUAAGAGACAGGAGAUAUCAGUUGAAAAUCUGAUUGCAUCUCUUGAUGUUGAAGAAAAAGCUCGGGCUAAAGAUACCACUGAAAAAGGAGGUGAGGUUCAGCCUACUGCUAACAUGGUGCAGAGGUACCCACACAACAAGAACAAAGGGAAGAACAAACCUGUUUUCAACAAGCCUACCAAGACUACUACCUUCAAGAAGAAGAAGUUCAACAAGGCUGAGCUAGAGUGCUACGCCUGUGGGAAGCCUGGACACUUUUCCAAGGAAUGCCCUGAAUGUGCAGACCGCAGAGGGAAAACAAGCUCCAAGACUGUCAACAUGGUGACCGCUAGCAAUACUGAUGGGUAUGGUCGCAAGGGAUUCUUCCGUCCUAAUGGGGAAUGGGUCACAUGCUUCUGUUCGUGGCAUUGGCACGGUGGAUCUGAAGUUUACUUCGGGAAAGAUCGUGCAACUAAGGAACGUGCAGCAUGUCCCUACUAUGAACAAGAAUCUAGCUAUGAGUGCGGAGGCUUGUUCCACUUUUCUCUUUCAGAUUUUUGCAAUAAGUCAAUAAACCAAAUUUGUGCUAAUGUUAAUGAUGAUGCAAGUAUUUGGCACUCCCGUUUAUGUCAUAUUAAUUUUGGUUUAAUGUCUCGGCUAUCCAGCAUGAGUUUAAUUCCGAACUUCACAGUUGCCAAAGGUUCUAAGUGCCAUAGUUGUGUGCAAUCUAAGCAACCUCGAAAGCCUCAUAAGGUUGCCGAGGAGAGAAACUUGGCACCUCUAGAACUCAUACAUUCUGAUCUUUAUGAGAUGAAUGGUGUGUUGACAAAAGGUGGAAAGAGAUAUUUCAUGACUUUGAUUGAUGAUGCGACUAGAUUUUGCUAUGUUUAUUUGUUGCAAACUAAAGAUGAAGCAUUAGACUACUUUAAAAUCUAUAAAGCUGAAGUUGAAAAUCAACUAGAGAGAAAGAUCAAGCGUCUUAGGUCCGAUCGUGGUGGAGAGUAUUUUCCAAAAGUUUUUGAUGAAUUUUGUGAGGAACAUGGUAUUAUUCAUGAGAGGAUGCCUCCCUAUUCACCUCAAUCAAAUGGAGUGGCCGAGAGGAAAAACCGCACAUUGACUGACUUGGUGAAUGCCAUGUUAGACACUGCUGGUUUAUCUAAGGCAUGGUGGGGGGAGGCUCUAUUGACUUCAUGUCAUGUCCUGAAUAGAGUUCCCAACAAUAAUAAAUAG
rnacentral:rRNA from 1 species